rnacentral:lncRNA from 1 species
GCUGAGUUGGAGGCCAGCCUGGGUGACAGAGCAAGAUCCUGACCAGGAAAAGAAGUAAUGAAACUUGUUAGCUCAAAUGCUGUUGGAGAUACAGCCCUGGCUGGCCUGGCGCUCAGGCUAGGCUAGCUUUGAACUUGCAGUGCUGGGGAGAUCAUGACAGCUGGACAUUUGCAGCUUGCUGAUCUUGGAUGAUGACGCUUUCCUGCUUUCCUCGCUUUCCUGCUUUCCUCGUGGCUUAAAGGUUCUCCCACUGAGCUACAUCCCCAGCCUCUGUACCCCCAACUCUUGAUUCUGUUUUGGAAGCCAUCGCCGGAUUUCUCUGUCCAGAACUCUGGCUCUAGCCUCGCUAACAGUGUCCGAGCUGGGAACCGGCGAUCUGGAAAUCUAGGUUCAGCACGCCCAGCACAAGCCCCUCACUGGACACAAGUUUCCCGGUGCUCGCCGCGUUCCCAGCCACCGCGUCAUCUGCCCGCUCGCCGCGUUCUAAUCGCUCUCAGACCCCUCCCUCACCGCUCUCCUCCCAAGGAAACUUGACCCUCGCCAGCCGCCGUCGCGAAGCCCCGACUUACUCGCUCGUUGUCCAGCUGCUCGCCAAGCUCAAACUCCGCACGCCGUUACCCGGGCUCGGGGGGCGGGGCUUCGGUACGACCCAGUGCGCCUGCGCAGACCGCCCCGCAAGGCUAAAGAGGAGGGGUGGGGAAGGAGCCCUGUGUUUAUGGAACUGGAC